rfam:Xenopus laevis strain J chromosome 2L, whole genome shotgun sequence.
UAAGCCCUUUUCACUUUACCAUUUGGAUCUUUGUGUCUACAAUGGACAUUCAAGAGGGCAACACAAAUAUCCUUCUAAAACCCAGGCAAAUUCUACAUAUUUUGCUUGUGUCCUGUCAGAGGAAACAUUU